rnacentral:rRNA from 1 species
AUUGAACGCUGGCGGCAUGCCUUACACAUGCAAGUCGAGCGGCAGCACGGGUGCUUGCACCUGGUGGCGAGUGGCGAACGGGUGAGUAAUACAUCGGAACGUACCUUAUCGUGGGGGAUAACGCAGCGAAAGCUGUGCUAAUACCGCAUACGCCCUGAGGGGGAAAGCGGGGGAUCGAAAGACCUCGCGCGAUUAGAGCGGCCGAUGCCUGAUUAGCUUGUUGGUGGGGUAAAAGCCCACCAAGGCGACGAUCAGUAGCUGGUCUGAGAGGACGAUCAGCCACACUGGGACUGAGACACGGCCCAGACUCCUACGGGAGGCAGCAGUGGGGAAUUUUGGACAGUGGGGGCAACCCUGAUCCGGCAAUGCCGCGUGAGUGAAGAAGGCCUUCGGGUUGUAAAGCUCUUUUGUCAGGGAAGAAACACCGGCUCUAACACAGUCCGGGAAUGACGGUACCUGAAGAAUAAGCACCGGCUAACUACGUGCCAGCAGCCGCAGUAA